ensembl:lncRNA
UGUGUGUGUGUGUGUGUGUGUGUGUGUGUGUGUGUGUGUGUGUGGGAUCAGGUGACAAGACAGCCGGGUUAUUCCAGGGUGAGAUGCCACCCUUCAGGGGAGAAGACAACGUGAAACCUAACAAGCACAGACAAGCACGUCAAUAUAUCGGGGCGGCCGCCACUGCUGCCUGGCCGGGCCGGGGCUAUCUGGAUGAAAGAUUGAUGAGCCUCUUCAGGGCCUGGAAAAGCUUACACUGCAUAUACAGACCUACUUCAUGGCCAUUCCACCAGCCAUUGCUAUUUGACCCAUUGUAGUUAUUCUGAUAUUGAGACAAAUCAUGAUCACUGUCCUAAAGCGUCCAUUUUUUGUGAGUCUCAAUGUCUACUUCAAAUGCAGUUGGAAAUAUGGGAGAGUUGCUUCAUUUUGUUUAUAUGCUACAGGCC